UGUGGGGCGGGGAGCGAGCGGGAGGCCGCCCGUUAGAGGGCCGCGGCGUCCUAGCAUUUGAAGGAUUGUUUGUUGCUGGGAUUGGUGGCUCGGAUCCGUUGGUGAACUGGAGAGGAGGGAGGAGAGACGCAGGGAGGAGGAGUCGGGGGCCGGCCGACGCUGCGACUCCGCGGUCUGAGUGGCAGGAGCCUCGUCUGGAAGCGGGCGGUUACUGGGGAGACGCUUUGUUUGCUAACUUCGAAAGCUGCUUCGGCUGCCUCGGCGGCUUUCGAAGCCACUCAACAAAACACGCCUUCGGGUCGGCUUAACCCUCCCCCUGCCCGCUUACAGAAGCCCGGCACAAAAAUGUUUCCGUCUGCGUGCUUAUCCUUGGCCACGCGGUGGCUCUCAUUAGGUACACAAAGGUAUCUUUUUCCUCGUCGAAGUGAACUUGGCUAAUUACUGCGAUUCUCAGGCAACCGGGAUGGAAACCGAGAGUUGAAGCGACUUUAUAGGCACACAUAGUUCCAUUUGGUGUCAUCUUUUGAAGCUGCCUCAAGGCCAAGAAAAGACACAGAGUUGUGUAAGUUAAGUUACUCUUCACAGCCUGCAAACCCUUCAAAGGCAAAAACUCAGAAACUUAGAAAGGAUCCUCUGAGAAGGUGGAAAAGAAGCCGAAAGACAAUUCAAUGGCAAGAGUGCUGGAAAGUGGAGAAAGAGCAUAGACCACAAAGUUGGAAGUAUUCAUGGAAGACAGAAGAGUUUGCAGGGACAAAAAAAAAGUAAGUAAUACCACAACCCCAAAUAUCAGAAGUAAGAGAGAUUUUUCCCUGGGGAAGCAUCUGGAGAGGCUCUACGCUCAGAGACAAGAGAUCUAGCACAGUGGGGACACCUGGGUGGCCCAGUCAAUUAAGCAACCGCCUUCUG